UGAGGAUUCUCAGCACUCUGAAUCGGGAGCUAUUGAAGCCGUCGGCGUCGGUGGCGCUGCAUCGACACUCGAAUGCGCUGGUUGAUGUACUGCCGCCGGAGGCCGAUUCGAGUAUUUCGUUGCUGAGUCAGUCGGAGAAACCGGAUGUGACUUACAGUGAUAUUGGCGGCUGCGACAUACAAAAACAAGAAAUUCGUGAAGCCGUAGAAUUACCGUUAACACAUCAUGAUUUGUACAAGCAGAUCGGUAUUGAUCCCCCGAGAGGUGUGCUUCUCUAUGGUCCUCCAGGCACUGGUAAAACUAUGCUCGCUAAGGCUGUUGCAAACCAUACAACAGCUGCUUUUAUAAGAGUUGUUGGCUCUGAGUUUGUGCAGAAGUAUCUCGGCGAGGGCCCGAGAAUGGUUAGGGA
rnacentral:misc_RNA from 1 species